AACUCAUUCGCCUAUCUGAAGAAGUAAAAGGUGAGGUGAUUAAGUCAACAGGAGAGAGCAGAGCACACGCCUACUCUCAUACGGUGAGGGGACAAUAGUCUCGAACAAACAGUGGAGUCAUGUAUGGUGUGGAACAAUAGAAGGACCCUGUUGUGUCUAGUGGAUCAGCCCACCUGCUCCAGGCUGUGCGUUUCUCUGUGACUCGGUGCUGAGUGUGGAAGGCCCUGGUGUGGGGCCUAUUGUGUUUCUCAGGCCUCAGCGGGCCUGUUGAGCACCCCUGACGGAUUGUUUCUGACAGGGCCCUGAAUUCCUGGAGCCUUUUAGGAGGGAAAGGACAUGGGGAUAAACUCAACACACACUACCAAAAAGGCAGUUUGAAGUCAUACAAUUGGCUAGCUAACAAGCUGGACCACUACAAGGUUUUGGGACGAGAGAAACUGAUGCAGCUUCUCUCACUGGAUAGGCUGACCAAAGUUUACAAAUGCCCAUGCCUAACGCUAAGAGCCUUUCUCAGAAGUCGAGACUAGCCGUGUCCAGACAGUGGACAUGUUCAUCAAAAGACUAAAGUGACUACUGGAGUACCUCUUUCUAAAACUACCAGGUCUUCUGUGAGCA